rnacentral:rRNA from 1 species
GGCCACCCAUUAAGGGAAUUUUUCCCCACAAUGGGACGCCAAGUUCUGAAGGAAGCAAACGCCCGCGUGGAGUGAAGAAAGGUUUUUCGGAUUCGUAAAAGCUUCUGUUGUUUGGUGAAGAAAGAAUAGAAGGUAGUAAACUGGCCCUUUAUUUGAACGGUAAUCAACCCAGAAAAGUCACGGGCUAAAUUACGUGCCCAGCAGCCGGCGGUAAUACGUAGGUGGCCAAGCGUUGUCCCGGAUUUUUUGGGCGUAAAAGCGAGCCCAGGCGGAAGAAUAAGUUUGAUGUGAAAGCCCUCGGCUUAACCGAGGAACUGCAUCGGAAACUGUUUUUCUUGAGUGCAGAAGAGGAGAGUGGAAUUCCAUGUGUAGCGGUGGAAUGCGUAGAUAUAUGGAAGAACACCAGUGGCGAAGGCGACUCUCUGGUCUGCAACUGACGCUGAGGCUCGAAAGCAUGGGUAGCGAACAGGAUUAGAUACCCUGGUAGUCCAUGCCGUAAACGAUGAGUGCUAAGUGUUGGGAGGUUUCCGCCUCUCAGUGCUGCAGCUAACGCAUUAAGCACUCCGCCUGGGGAGUACGACCGCAAGGUUGAAACUCAAAGGAAUUGACGGGGGCCCGCACAAGCGGUGGAGCAUGUGGUUUAAUUCGAAGCAACGCGAAGAACCUUACCAGGUCUUGACAUCUAGUGCCAUCCUAAGAGAUUAGGAGUUCCCUUCGGGGACGCUAAGACAGGUGGUGCAUGGCUGUCGUCAGCUCGUGUCGUGAGAUGUUGGGUUAAGUCCCGCAACGAGCGCAACCCUUGUUAUUAGUUGCCAGCAUUAAGUUGGGCACUCUAAUGAGACUGCCGGUGAUAAACCGGAGGAAGGUGGGGAUGACGUCAAGUCAUCAUGCCCCUUAUGACCUGGGCUACACACGUGCUACAAUGGACAGUACAACGAGAAGCGAGCCUGCGAAGGCAAGCGAAUCUCUGAAAGCUGUUCUCAGUUCGGACUGCAGUCUGCAACUCGACUGCACGAAGCUGGAAUCGCUAGUAAUCGCGGAUCAGAACGCCGCGGUGAAUACGUUCCCGGGCCUUGUACACACCGCCCGUCACACCAUGGAAGUCUGCAAUGCCCAAAGCCGGUGGCCUAA